GAUCUGUACAAAACAGGGAUGAGGUUUAAGGUGGGUGGAUGUGACAGGGAGGCGUAAGCUGGCACAUGCUGCCCUGUGUCCCAGAGUGUCUGCAUCUCAUCAGCCCACGGGGCCACCACACGUGGUGCUGGCACUGCCCAGCAGCCCUGCUGACCCCUGGGCAGGGAGGGGGAGGUAGGCCUAGGGAGAGGCACCCGGUGCCUGUGUGGGAGGGGUGUCGGCCUGCAGCACUGGUGUCCGCAGCCAGAUGGGGACAAACAGGCCUCUUGCCAGCCCCUGCUGAGAUGGAAAGGUGGUGAAGCACGGAACUGACAGCCACUACAUGCUUAGAAAAAUCAGAUGUCCCAGUCUGCCUGUUCCUGAGGUGCACCAGCACCUCCUAUGCAGCUGCCAGCUCUUGGUGUGGACGAUGGCAGGUCUGAUCUCUGCUUGAUAGACCCGCGCUGAAUUUCUGGGCUACUUGUAGAGAAAGCAAGCCUAGAAGAAACCACGUGGAAGAUCCAUGAAGGGACGGAAUCCAAAGGAUGCUACACUAUAAGAUUGCUCUCUCUUAGGUGACAAUGUCAGUACUGUGCUGAUCCCUGUGGUGCACAAGCUCAGCUGUUUGUGCAGCUGUACAGCAAAACAACCAAAGGAAUUGGUCUGUCUGAAAAAUUAUCAAAGGAAUAGGCAGUAUGCGGGCAGAAACAUGUGGCUGAAACUGGUGAUGUGGGACAAAUGCUGCUUAAGAAACUGAUACAGACUGCCAAACCAUGUGCUGGCUUCUGAAAAAAAUCGGAGGUUUUCUCUGAGCCAGAACAGUGUUGGCUUGUUAAAGGCAAGCUAUCUUUAGCUGUAAUUAGAGCUGAUUAUCUCAGAUCCCCUGAAAUGGUCACUCUAGAGCAGAGACUGGCUGCCUGAUAGUCCUGUGGAGUCUUGUGGCCCUCAGGCCCAGACUCAGAGGAGCUCUUGGGGACCACCCUGUCUCCAAAAGCACACUGUGGCUGGACUGUAGGGGGAUUAAUAACUAAGCUGAUCUAACAGCUGGGGACCAAAUUUGCUUGGCUGAAAGCGAGGAUAGAUGACAACAGAGAAAAAUAAAUUUCUCUCUGACUGCACUUAGAUUUCUUUCUCUCUGUGUAUGACUCUCCUAGUUUUCCCAGUAGCCAAGUAUGGUGAAGAGGAGAAGGUGGUUUAGAAGAAGCAGUUUCCUGAUGGAAUUCCUAAGAAUGGUCAUUUAUCUGAUAGGCAGAGCUGAAGCAACUUUUCUUCCUAAUGUGAUAGAAGCUGUCCCCGGAUCCCGGCAGAACAGCAGCAGUGGGAAUUCACCUCCCUUCAGGGUUUGCUAUUAAAGCAAACGUACAUGCAAAGGAUCAGAGAGUGGCUCUGUGGAUGUAGUUUGCUUUUGCAUUUCCGUUUCCUUCUUUGCUUCAAAGCACUUUGUAGGAGGUUAGAGAAUGCUUUCCCCCAAGUUACUGAGCAAGCAGCAACAGGAAAACAUCAGCAGUGGCAAAAUUUUUAGCUUCAUGAAAGCUGACCAUGGAUGUUCAGCCAUUUAGGAUUCAAGAGAUUGUGUCAAGUAUUCCCUGAGCCUUGGAACUCAAAAACCCCACAUUGUGUGUGACCUGGAAUUUAACAUACCUCUGUUCCAAUGCCAAGAUGGGAAGAGGCUACCCCUGCAUACAAACAAGGUUAAAUUCCAGGCUUUACUUUUUAUAGUAAAUGUUUGCAAGCCUCAAGUGCCCCCCGCACUUAUUUGUUUAGUGCUGGAAACACAGACGAAGACAGGUUGGUCAUGGGAGGAGCAUGGGCAUAGCUGAGCUCUUUCCCAGUCCCUGGCCUUCACUGCAAGCACAGCACUGCAGCCACCCCAUUUUGGGAGGACCAAACUCUUACAUUGAUAAUGUUGACACUGGUGAACAACCACGUUUGCAACAUCCUCUAAACAUUUGGCAGAAGGAAGCUCAUUGCUGCAUCACAUCAGCAUAUCCCCCCUUGUCUUCUUGCCAAAAUGCCUUGUUGUAGGGGGAUUCCUGGAACACUUCCUCAUGCAGAAAAGGCAGUUGGAGAGGAGAUAAAGCAACGCUUUCUGCUGCUUGGAGAAGAAAAACCACUUAUGGAAACUCUGUUACAGUCUCUAGGUAACUGAAUCACUUAGCAGUCUAACAAUGAAAAGAAGUGCCAUUUUUUUGUUUCUUAUUAUUGACUAUAAAAUAGUCCAAGGUCACCAAUAGGCAAAAUGAAAGCUCAAAAUACCAACUUUGAAACAAAAGUUAUAAUUGUAUCAAAUCAACAAUAACUCAUUUCCAUGGUGCUCCACCUGCCCUCAUUAGGUUAUACAGAACAAAUGUCAGAGAGAUAACAUUCAGGAAAAAGGUGUUCUUCUGAUAAGGACAAUAACUUUGUAGAAGUUCCUCCGGGGGGGGAAAUAAAUAGUCUUCCUUCCCUCCUUUUAAAAACAAACCAGCUGAUCUUUUACUAGAUUUGUGCAAAGUUUCACACAACUGCUGUUACACUUCAUUUGUGUCUCUGUAAAAUAAUGCCAUAAGGUCCCAAGAUUACUAUCUCACAGUGAUGUCCAGAUAAGACUUGCAGCUUGCAUGUACAAAUAUCCUUUUCCUAGUUGCUAGCUCUGAAAACUCCUGCUUGGAGUUUGAAAGUCAAGCUGUGUUCUCUGUCUGAUAUAUCACCACCAUAAAACACUGCACUCAACGCUUAUCAAUUCUGUAGAAAAGCACAACUCAGAAAGGAGGAAGCCCGCUAAACUUUGCAAACUGCACAACUUUGCUAAACUAACAAAAGAAAUCAGGGUAAAUUCUUACUUUAUUCAGAUAUGCAUGUAAGAACCAGAGGUAUUCAAGAAGUUGGCAUUUUUUUCAGAUUGCAGAUUUGUUUUGUGGAUCCAGAUAUACAUUUCCAAGAGUUGGGGGUUCUCUGUGGCAUUUGGGAACUGCCCUCCUAUCUUGGAACACAUGUAAUGCACCAGUUGGGUGCUUUGGAGCUUAGCCACAACAUGCCUGCGUCCAGUCAAGGCUGCUGGUCUCCUCCAGAAGGACAAGUAAAGGUAUUUCUCUCACCACUAGCAAUGUAUAUGGGAUGGGAGUAAAAAGAGAGUGCCAUUUCUAGAACUAAUGUUAUUACAGCUGAGAUCCCAGCUUGCAGGAGAACAGUAGCAUUUUCCUACAUACAGAAAUAACAGACACACACAUCAUGUGUUUUUCGUAAUACAGAAGUCAGGGAUGAAACAGUGGUAAAGAUACGAGGCAAAAAAUUAGGAGAUCUGGUCUUCAAGCUCAUACUUGGUCUGUGACCGCUGAAACACCAGAAAGAAAGAAAGAAAAGAAAAAUGAUCCAAAAGCAUCUACUUUUAAGCCCUCAACUCCAAGAAUGUGAUCCAUAAAGUCCUUCUGAGGCACCUGCAUUUCACCUGCUGCAGAUGAGGUGAGCCUAGCAGGUACUCAAACACUGUUCAACAUUGACAGAAUAGGCAUCCUCUGUGCUUAAACUCCUUGAAGCUGCAGCAAUCCUAAAAAACUAAAUAUGCCAGCACUGUUCUCUGGCAGCAUGGCCAACUGGCAGGGAAUGCCCCAUAUUCAUGAUAUUAAACCUCAUGCAACGAGAGACAGUACAUACAAAUGGCAAUUCAGUGAUGGGCUCUAUGUCACACCAACUUCUGAACUGCUCCCCUGCAUUAUUUGAGAGUCAGUGUGGGUAAAAAGCAGGCCAGGGACUGCUCUAAGGGAGUACAGACAUUGCGUUCGGGUGCCUAAUAACAUCCCUGGAUGCUGUUCAAUAUAUGAGGAUGGACAUAACCUGAGGGUCUUGAAUAAAUAAAUGGAAUCUUAAGUCUGCUUAACAGAUUUGGAUGGCUUAAGUACACAGAAGUACAAGCUGGGCACAGAAAAAGAGCAGCCAUUGGUACUUUGACUCCAACAUGAUACUCAAUGGCUCUUCAAUAAAAAAAAAAUGGAUCCUGAGAGCCAAGAUUGGAAAAGAAGCCCAAAUUCUUAGUCAGACACGCUUCCUUAUCAGCGGAGACAGUCCGCCUCCUCUUCAUACUCUC